CAGCCGCCGCGGUAAUACCAGCCCCGCGAGUGGUCGGGACGGUUAUUGGGCCUAAAGCGCCCGUAGCCGGCCCGGCAAGUCCCUCCUUAAAGCCUCGGGCCCAACCCGAGGACGGGGGGGAUACUGCCGGGCUAGGGGGCGGGAGAGGCCGGCGGUACUCCCGGGGUAGGGGCGAAAUCCGUUAAUCCCGGGAGGACCACCAGUGGCGAAGGCGGCCGGCUGGAACGCGCCCGACGGUGAGGGGCGAAAGCCGGGGGAGCGAACCGGAUUAGAUACCCGGGUAGUCCCGGCUGUAAACGAUGCGGGCUAGCUGUUGGGCGGGCUUAGAGCCCGCCCAGUGGCGCAGGGAAGCCGUUAAGUCCGCCGCCUGGGGAGUACGGCCGCAAGGCUGAAACUUAAAGGAUUGGCGGG
rnacentral:rRNA from 1 species